GUGAGGUGUUGAUAGUGCAGGUGGUGUUAAGCUCGUGUAUUGAGUAAUGAAGUGCCGUAAAGAAUUAUCCCCCGGGAAGAAAUACGGUGUAAACGAUUUGAUGUACCUAUGAGUUGUGAUAUUGUUGUGUAUAGUUUAAUAGUUGUCUUAGUCGGAAGCUGUUAAGUUAAUGCUCGCCCGAAAAAGUUGUGGGAAACUUUUCGGUCUUGGAGUAGACAAGUGGAUGUAACUGUCAGCUCAUUGUCUCUCCUGUCAUUAUUGCAGGUUGGCAGACACAACAGAGGUGAUGGUCCUCCCUCAGCGGCCUUAACACAGGAGUCAUCUCAAGAACCCUAUUGCCGUCCCAGCACUUACAGCGGCCUUACACACAAACGUACCCAGCACAGCCCGUCCUAUACUAGUUCAUAAGAGUUGACCGUCUAGUGUGUGUGUGUCAAGACGGCUGUCAAAAUGAGUGAAACAGAGGUGUCUUGGUCGUAUAAUAAUAAAAACAGCAAAAACAUGUCAGGGUGGACGUCUAGUGGUAACAGCGGCCCGGCGGGUAUCCCAGGCUCUGUGGACGAGGAGGCGAACCUGAGACAACAGAAACUCCGUAAGCAGCGACAACUCCUGAGCAUGAGUGGGCCAAGAAGAGACAGAAUGCAGGCAUCAUGCAGCCGUCGGAACGGGCCAAGUCGGCCAAGUCGAGGCCAAGGACUGCAGGAAGGCCAUUCCCCACAACAAGAACCACGGCUUA